rnacentral:rRNA from 1 species
UGGGGAAUUGUUCGCAAUGGGCGCAAGCCUGACGACGCAACGCCGCGUGAGUGAAGAAGGCCUUAGGGUUGUAAAGCUCUUUUACCAGGGACGAUAAUGACGGUACCUGGAGAAUAAGCCCCGGCAAACUUCGUGCCAGCAGCCGCGGUAAUACGAAGGGGGCUAGCGUUGUUCGGAAUUACUGGGCGUAAAGCGCACGUAGGCGGGUCGUUAAGUCAGGGGUGAAAUCCCGGAGCUCAACUCCGGAACUGCCUUUGAUACUGGCGAUCUAGAGAUCGAGAGAGGUGAGUGGAAUUCCGAGUGUAGAGGUGAAAUUCGUAGAUAUUCGGAAGAACACCAGUGGCGAAGGCGGCUCACUGGCUCGAUACUGACGCUGAGGAGCGAAAGCCAGGGGAGCAAACGGGAUUAGAUACCCUUGUAGUCCCUGAGCGGGCUGGCAAGGCGCAU